AUUUUCUUAAAAAGAAAGCAGAUUAAUCUCUCUCUAUCAUCUACGUAAAUUCUCUCUAUUUCCGCGUUCUCUCUUUCUCUGCUCUCUACCGUCCCUCUCUCUCUCCCUUCGCCCCUCUCUGCCGGCUCCCUUCUUCCCCAUCUCACCGGGACGUCGCUGGUUCUCGCCGCCUCCGGCGCGGCGAGGCAGGCCCCUGUUCUUCCCCCUUCUUCCUUUCUCUUCUCUUCCCCCAAUUUCCCAGGCUACCACUACCUAGGGUUUUGAAGUUUCCUCUUUUAAAUCUGCUCCUCCGGUGAACUCCACCGCCACCGCCGCCGUUCCCGUCGCGCGGCUGCCCUACAAUCUCAGGUAAGCUCCCCUCUUUCUCCCUCUCGAUCCCUCUCUCCCCUCUUGUUCGCGGCGGCUCGCCGCAGCAGCAGCACCGGCGGUCGCCGGCUGCUGCUGUUGCCAUCACUUCCGUGUUUUAUCUCCUCCUCUCUUUUAUUACAGUUCUAUUUUAAACUUAAUACUAACUAAUCCCAACUAUUUCCCUAUUUCAGGAACAAAUUACUCCGGCGUGGAAGCUCGUCUACCGAUACUGCAGCUCAAGUUUCUACCUUUUACUUGUUCUGUAAAUUUAUUCUCUUUUGCUGAUUUACUGAGAAAUUGAUAUUUUGAUGGGGAAAAGCAUACUGUUUUGUAGAAGAAAUUAGAGUUAGGGACUGUUGCAACUAUGCUUGUAUCUACAUGGUGUAGCUAUUAUUCAUCUCUAUUGUUCUUAGUUGCUACUGAAUUAGGAACUGCAAUAAGAGAUACUACCUGUGAAUUGGACCUGCUGUGCUGCCGAAGAUUGUUGUAACAGAUGAUGGCAGAGUUGAGAAAAUUUGGUUGGAUUGGCUCAUGGUAUUAUAUUGAAUUUAUUGGCGGUUUAACACCAGCCGACUAAAAAGUGGUGUGCUACGUGUUGACUGGAGAAUUACUCAGGAUUAACAAACUUAAUAAUCCAUUUAUGUUUUUAAAGCUGACUAAUCUAUCUAUUCUUUAAUAAAAGAGCUUGGCUUCUUCCAUUCUUACACUAUUCUCUGGCCAUAUAAUAAGUAUUGAUCUUAUUUUAAAAUCGAAUGCAUAUAUAUAUAUUGGGCUUUGGUUAUUCAACAAAUAAAUAAAAUCACUGGUCCAAAUAAUAAAGUAUUGGGCUUAACUCCACAAAUUCAAAUAAUCACUUGCCCAAAUAAUAUUUAUUGAGCUUUUUGCAUAAAAUUGAGACUUCUCUUUUUUCUUUAAAAUAAUAGGAAAUAGAAAAUAAUAUUUAUA
rnacentral:lncRNA from 1 species